rnacentral:rRNA from 1 species
GAUGAACGCUGGCGGCGUGCCUAACACAUGCAAGUCGAGCGAUCUUCUUCGGAAGUGAGCGGCGGACGGGUGAGUAACGCGUGGGUAACCUGCCCUGUACACACGGAUAACAUACCGAAAGGUAUGCUAAUACGGGAUAAUAUGCUUUUAUCGCAUGGUAGAAGUAUCAAAGCUCCGGCGGUACAGGAUGGACCCGCGUCUGAUUAGCUAGUUGGUAAGGUAAUGGCUUACCAAGGCGACGAUCAGUAGCCGACCUGAGAGGGUGAUCGGCCACAUUGGAACUGAGACACGGUCCAAACUCCUACGGGAGGCAGCAGUGGGGAAUAUUGCACAAUGGGCGAAAGCCUGAUGCAGCAACGCCGCGUGAGCGAUGAAGGCCUUCGGGUCGUAAGGCUCUGUCCUCAAGGAAGAUAAUGACGGUACUUGAGGAGGAAGCCCCGGCUAACUACGUGCCAGCAGCCGCAGUAA